rnacentral:rRNA from 1 species
AUGGCUUUGGCGGAGGCGCCGGCGGCAAGGCCGAUUCUGUACUCUUACUGGCGCAGCUCCUGCUCCCACCGCGUCCGCAUCGCGCUCAACCUCAAAGGUAUCGAUUAUGAGUACAAGGCGGUGAACCUCCUCAAGGGCGAGCAGUCUGAUCCCGAGUUCAUGAAGCUUAACCCUAUGAAGUUCGUCCCUGCCUUGGUCGACGGCGACGCAGUAAUUGGUGACUCUUACGCAGUAGCAUUGUAUUUGGAGGACAAGUACCCCCAGCGUCCUCUUUUGCCUCAAGACCUUAAAAAGAAGGCCCUGAAUAUCCAGGUAGCAAGCAUUGUAUGUUCUGGUAUUCAACCUCUUCACAAUCUCACCUUGGUGAGAUUUAUCGAGCAAAAGGUUGGAACAGGGGAGAGCAUCCCGUGGGUCCAACAACAGAUUGAUAGAGGUUUCACAGCUGUUGAGAACAUGAUCAAAGGCUGUGCUGGGAAGUUUGCUAUGGGAGAUGAAGUCCAACUGGCAGACGUAUUCCUUGCACCCCAGAUUUUUGCUGCGGUGACUCGUUUUCAGAUCGACAUGUCGAACUAUCCCACGCUCGCGAGGCUCCACGAUCAGUAUAUGACACACCCUGCAUUUGAAGCUGCGCUCCCUGACCGGCAGCCGGAUGCCCCUUCCUCUGGCUAA